rnacentral:rRNA from 1 species
AACGCUAGCUACAGGCUUAACACAUGCAAGUCGAGGGGCAGCACGAUGUAGCAAUACAUUGGUGGCGACCGGCGCACGGGUGCGUAACACGUAUGCAACCUACCCAUAAGCGGGGAAUAACCCGGAGAAAUCCGGACUAAUACCGCAUAGUACGUUUGAGUGGCAUCACUUAAACUUUAAAGAUUUAUCACUUAUGGAUGGGCAUGCGCAUGAUUAGAUAGUAGGCGGGGUAACGGCCCACCUAGUCAACGAUCAUUAGGGGUUCUGAGAGGAAGGUCCCCCACAUUGGUACUGAGACACGGACCAAACUCCUACGGGAGGCAGCAGUGAGGAAUAUUGGUCAAUGGGCGAGAGCCUGAACCAGCCAAGUCGCGUGAAGGAAGAAGGAUCUAUGGUUCGUAAACUUCUUUUUUAGGGGAAUAAAGUGCGGUACGUGUACCGUUUUGUAUGUACCCUACGAAUAAGGAUCGGCUAACUCCGUGCCAGCAGCCGCGGUAAUACGGAGGAUCCAAGCGUUAUCCGGAUUUAUUGGGUUUAAAGGGUGCGUAGGCGGGCCCAUAAGUCAGUGGUGAAAGUUUGCAGCUCAACUGUAAAAUUGCCAUUGAAACUGUGGGCCUUGAGUGUAAAUGAGGUAGGCGGAAUGUGUUGUGUAGCGGUGAAAUGCUUAGAUAUGACACAGAACACCGAUUGCGAAGGCAGCUUACUAAGAUACAACUGACGCUGAGGCACGAAAGCGUGGGGAUCGAACAGGAUUAGAUACCCUGGUAGUCCACGCAGUAAACGAUGAUUACUAGCUGUUUGCGAUAUAAUGUAAGUGGCUAAGGGAAACCGAUAAGUAAUCCACCUGGGGAGUACGUUCGCAAGAAUGAAACUCAAAGGAAUUGACGGGGGCCCGCACAAGCGGAGGAACAUGUGGUUUAAUUCGAUGAUACGCGAGGAACCUUACCCGGGCUUGAAAUGCAGAGGAAUAACUUGGAAACAGGUUAGUCAGCAAUGACCUCUGUGUAGGUGCUGCAUGGUUGUCGUCAGCUCGUGCCGUGAGGUGUCGGCUUAAGUGC